GACGAACGCUGGCGGCGUGCUUAACACAUGCAAGUCGAACGAGUGGCGAAGGGGUGAGUAAUACGUGGGUAACCUGCCCACUUUGACGGAUAAGCCUUACAAACGAGACCUAAUACCGACUAAAGGGGGAUGGGGUCGCGGCUUAUCAGCUUGUUGGGGGGGUGAUGGCCUACCAAGGCGUAGACGGGUAGCCGGCCUGAGAGGGUGACCAGCCACACUGGGACUGAGACACGGCCCAGACUCCUACGGGAGGCAGCAGUGGGGAAUAUUGCACAAUGGGGGCAAGCCUGAUGCAGCCAUGCCGCGUGUAUGAAGAAGGCCUUCGGGUUGUAAAGUACUUUCAGUCGGGAGGCGUUACCGACAGAAGAAGCACCGCAUAACUCACUGUCAGCAGCCGCGGUAAUUC
rnacentral:rRNA from 1 species